rnacentral:misc_RNA from 1 species
UUGUGCAGGACCAGGUACAAGAAUCUUCUUCCCAGAUAAAGAUGCAGGAUUCCCAUUGGGCGGAUAAUCAUCUGCAGCAAGAUUUUUCUUGUUUACGAUGUUGAAGAUCUCUGUCAACACAGUCGAGAAUGCAUCCUCCACGUUUGUCGCUUCCAAUGCAGAAGUCUCUAAGAAAAAUAAUCCUUCCUUCUGAGCAAAUUCCUUAGCAUCCUCGGUAGGAACAGCUCGUUGGUCUUUGAGAUCUGUUUUGUUUCCGAUCAGAAUGAUCACGAUAUUCCUAUCGGCAUGUGCACGCAACUCUUCCAGCCAACGGGGUAUGUG